rnacentral:tRNA from 1 species
AAGGCCCUGUAGCUGGAAGGUUCAAGCAAGCGACUCAUAAUCGCCAGAUGGUGGUUCAAUUCCACCCAGGGC